rnacentral:tRNA from 1 species
GGGUGUGUAGCUCAGUGGUAGAGCGGCCGACUGCUGUUCGGCGGGUCCUCGAUUCAAAUUCGUGCGAGCCCU